AAAGAAAAAAGGAAAGGAAAAAAAUGUUCCAGCUUGAUAUGAUUAUUUAUUUUUUAUUUAUUAUUUGUUAAUAAUUAAUUAUUUCCUCACUAGUUUGUCCGCAUACUUUCAGUAUUUUUUAAAAAUCAUGG
rnacentral:ribozyme from 14 species